AGCAGCCGCGGUAAUUCCAGCUCCAAUAGCGUAUAUUAAAGUUGUUGCAGUUAAAAAGCUCGUAGUUGAAUUUCGGGGUUCUACCGUUGGUCGGGCUAACAAGUCUGUACUGGUGUGUAGAAUUUCUACCUUCUGGGGAACUAUCAUGUUAUUAAUUUAGCGUGGUGGGAAACCAGGACCUUUACCUUGAAAAAAUUAGAGUGUUCAAAGCAGGCUUAUGUCUGAAUACAUUAGCAUGGAAUAAUAGAAUAGGACGGUGGUCCUGUUUUGUUGGUUUCUGAAUCACCGUAAUGAUUAAUAGGGAUAGUUGGGGGCAUUAGUAUUCAAUUGUCAGAGGUGAAAUUCUUGGAUUUAUUGAAGACUAACUACUGCGAAAGCAUUUGCCAAGGAUGUUUUCAUUAAUCAAGAACGAAAGUUAGGGGAUCGAAGACGAUCAGAUACCGUCGUAGUCUUAACCAUAAACUAUGCCGACUAGGGAUCGGAUGAUGUUAAUUUUUAAUGUACUCAUUCGGCGCCUUAC
rnacentral:rRNA from 1 species